rnacentral:pre_miRNA from 1 species
AAAAAGUAAACCCUGAGUUUCCGUGUCCAACUUUAAUUGUCCGUAUUAUAUGAAAUUUUUUUAUAAUUCGUAUUUUUAUUGUUGUUAGAUAAUAAAACAUAAUAUUUUAUGAGUGACUUGUCUUUUUAAUUUUUUUCAUAAUUUUUUCAAAUAAGACGGACGGUCAAACGUUGGACACGGAAACCAAAGUUUGUCUUUUUU